CAAGUUUGAUGGCGACCGGCGCACGGGUGAGUAACACGUAUCCAACCUGCCGAUAACUCUGGAAUAGCCUUUCGAAAGAAAGAUUAAUACCGGAUAGUAUACGAAUAUCGCAUGAUAUUUUUAUUAAAGAAUUUCGGUUAUCGAUGGGGAUGCGUUCCAUUAGUUUGUUGGCGGGGUAACGGCCCACCAAGACUACGAUGGAUAGGGGUUCUGAGAGGAAGGUCCCCCACAUUGGAACUGAGACACGGUCCAAACUCCUACGGGAGGCAGCAUG
rnacentral:rRNA from 1 species